CAGUCGCCGCGGGAAUACGGAGGGUGCAAGCGUUAAUCGGAAUUACUGGGCGUAAAGCGCACGCAGGCGGUCUGUCAAGUCGGAUGUGAAAUCCCCGGGCUCAACCUGGGAACUGCAUUCGAAACUGGCAGGCUAGAGUCUUGUAGAGGGGGGUAGAAUUCCAGGUGUAGCGGUGAAAUGCGUAGAGAUCUGGAGGAAUACCGGUGGCGAAGGCGGCCCCCUGGACAAAGACUGACGCUCAGGUGCGAAAGCGUGGGGAGCAAACAGGAUUAGAUACCCGGGUAGUCCCUGUCUCUUAUAA
rnacentral:rRNA from 1 species